rnacentral:misc_RNA from 1 species
GAUGAAGAACGUAGUGAAAUGCGAUAAGUAGUGUCAAUUGCAGAAUUCAGUGAAUCAUCGAAUCUUUGAACGCACAUUGCGCCCCUUGGUAUUCCAUGGGGCAUGCCUGUUCGAGCGUCAUUUGUACCUUCAAGCUUUGCUUGGUGUUGGGUGUUUGUCUCGCCUUUGCGUGUAGACUCGCCUUAAAAUAAUUGGCAGCCGGCGUAUUGAUUUCGGAGCGCAGUACAUCUCGCGCUUUGCACUCAUAACGACAGCGUCCAAAAGUACAUUUUACACUCUUGACCUCGGAUCAGGUAGGGAUACCCGCUGAACUUAAGCAUAUCAAUAAGCGGAGGA